rnacentral:rRNA from 1 species
CGCGAGCAGGUGCGAAAGCAGGUCAUAGUGAUCCGGUGGUUCUGAAUGGAAGGGCCAUCGCUCAACGGAUAAAAGGUACUCCGGGGAUAACAGGCUGAUACCGCCCAAGAGUUCAUAUCGACGGCGGUGUUUGGCACCUCGAUGUCGGCUCAUCACAUCCUGGGGCUGAAGUAGGUCCCAAGGGUAUGGCUGUUCGCCAUUUAAAGUGGUACGCGAGCUGGGUUUAGAACGUCGUGAGACAGUUCGGUCCCUAUCUGCCGUGGGCGCUGGAGAAUUGAGGGGGGCUGCUCCUAGUACGAGAGGACCGGAGUGGACGCAUCACUGGUGUUCGGGUUGUCAUGCCAAUGGCACUGCCCGGUAGCUAAAUGCGGAAGAGAUAAGUGCUGAAAGCAUCUAAGCACGAAACUUGCCCCGAGAUGAGUUCUCCCUGAGACUU